GCCGAACUCUUCCCUCGUGCCUAAUACAUGCAAGUCGAGCGAGUCUGCCUUGAAGAUCGGAGUGCUUGCACGCUGUGAGACAAGAUACAGGCUAGCGGCGGACGAGUGAGUAACACGUGGGUAACCUGCCCAAGAGAUCGGGAUAACACCUGGAAACAGAUGCUAGUACCGGAUAACAACAGUUGAUGCCUAUCACCUGUUUAAAAGAUGGUUCUGCUAUCACUCUUGGAUGGACCUGCGGUGCAUUAGCUAGUUGGUAGGGUAACGGCCUACCAAGGCGAUGAUGCAUAGCCGAGUUGAGAGACUGAUCGGCCACACUGGGACUGAGACACGGUCCAAACUCCUACGGGAGGCAGCAGUAGGGAAUCUUGCACAAUGGACGCAAGUCUGAUGUAGCAAUGCCGCGUGAGUGAAGAAGGGUUUCGGCUCGUAAAGCUCUGUUGUUGGUGAAGAAGGACAGGAGUAGUAACUGACCUUUGUUUGACGGUAAUCAAUUAGAAAGGCACGGCUAACUUCGUG
rnacentral:rRNA from 1 species